AAGCCUGAUCCAGCCAUGCCGCGUGAGUGAUGAAGGCCUCAGGGUUGUAAAGCUCUUUCAGUAGGGAAGAUAAUGACGGUACCUACAGAAGAAGCCCCGGCUAACUUCGUGCCAGCAGCCGCGGUAAUCGAAGGGGGCUAGCGUUGUUCGGAUUUACUGGGCGUAAAGCGCACGUAGGCGGUUUGUUAAGGUCAGAGGUGAAAUCCCGGAGCUCAACUCCGGAACUGCCUUUGAUACUGGCAAGCUAGAGUCCGGAAGAGGUAAGUGGAACUCCUAGUGUAGAGGUGGAAUUCGUAGAUAUUGGAAGAACACCAGUGGCGAAGGCGGCUUACUGGUCCGGAACUGACGCUGAGGUGCGAAAGCGUGGGGAGCGAACAGGAUUAGAUACCCUGGUAGUCCACGCCGUAAACUAUGAGAGCUAGCCGUUGGAAGGUUACCUUUCAGUGGCGCAGCUAACGCAUUAAGCUCUCCGCCUGGGGAGUACGGUCGCAAGAUUA
rnacentral:rRNA from 1 species